GAAUCCAUUUAGCGAAGAAAAUAGCAGUAUGUAACAAAAUUUUGUGUAAAAGCAAAUUAAAUCCCAUUUGAUUGGCCAUAUGUUUAGUUUUAAACUCUAUGCUUCGUUAAGUUGGCGACGAAUAACGUAACACCGGUAAUACACUCUACUUUUAUAGACUUAGCAACGCUGCUAGUUAUCAUUUAUUCAUCACCUCAAAUAUGAGCCUGACGUCGCAUUUUUAGAUACCUGUUCGCUUUUUAGGAUUCUGUACCUCAAAAAGAAAAAAAGAAACCCUUACGGGAUCACUUGUUGUCCGUCCGUCUAUCAAUCCAUCUAUCUGUCUCUCAAGACGCAUUAUCUUAGGCACGCGUGGAGGUAUCGAGUUGAAAUUAAUACAGUCUGUUGAGGCUGUAACAAUCAACCUUCUAAGUUAACAUAAAAAAAACAUACGUCUGUUUAUGCCGCAAAUAACGUUUAUUUCGACACUCUCAAGGGAAUCAAAAUUUAUAGGGUAAUUCCCAUUGACCUUGAACUAUGACAUUUUGCAAGUAAUAUCGUCUUUCACUACAAAUACAGGGAAUAAUCUUAAAACGAUAAAUAAAUUAAAUUGAAUUUUGUAUGGAACCCUCGGUGGGCGAAUCCGACUCGCACUUGUCCGGUUUUUUACUUGUAAACAAACUUUGGAACACCUUCUAUAAUUAGGUGUUCCAAAGUUGCGGUAUAAAUGUCAACUUAACAUUUUAUAUGACGUAUUAUAGUCUUCAAAGGACAUACCACGAUCGGGUGAACAUUGUUAUGCACCUGCUCAAAAUAGAAGUAGGGAUUGCUUCUUGCGACAAUGAAACAUUCUAAUUGAAACAUUAUUUGAUCAUUUACAUCUAAACAUUUUGGUAAACAGCAACUGUUCCUUUUAUUAAUGUAUGGAAGAGGUAAUAAUACUCGUAGAUUUUGUUCAUGUAUCUAGUAAUCUAGUAGAAGUAGCAUUGGGUAAAUUAUAUCAACAUCUGCAAUUGGUUUGACAACUGUAUAUACUUAUUAUCUUAUUAAAACUCAAAUUAAAUAUCAUUUAUUUUCAGGCAUUUAAGGUCCUUAUACGUACCUUACAAACUAACAUAGGUAAAUUAAAAUCAUUUUGGCGACACAGUUUUCUGUUGCAUCACCUGUUCUAGUAGGAUUCGGCAGAUCCCCGCGGAACCGCCGAAAUACCACAUUCUUCGGCUAGAAGGCCACGUUCGCGAUGGUUCCCAGCAACGGCUGCGGCACGCGCACCACAAACGAGGUAAAGUGGACGUACCUAAUGACGCGAUCGCUGGAACACUUAGGUACAGCUCGUAACGAGUCUUCUUGCGAAGAUACCUAUUCCACCACAUCGUCUGCUAUGGUGGAAAGAUGCAGGCGCGAUACAUAUAGCGCCGUAUUCGGCGUGGUAGCCAGCAGACCAGAAGCAAUAUCUGGCUCCGCAAUACCACCCUGGCUCUAGAGAGGCGCCUCUUGCGAGGCCUCCUCUCCUUCGACGCCCGUGUGAAUUCUUUCUCGGCGCGGGGUGGCUUCUUAUUACGAGAAACACAUUCAGGCACCUUUGAAAGUGCUUUGAUGAGGAGUUAAUGCUUUUUUAUAUCAGAUAUAACGGCACUAAUAAUAUUAAUAUAAGUACUGAAAACUACUUGACAGUUUGUCGUGAUAAAAACUCAAGACAAGUCCAUAACUUUUACGUACCCAUUGUAUUAAACAGAAACUAGCAAGUACCGGGAUUUACGUGCGUUCUUGGCUGUGCUGUUCGUCGUAUGAGUUUAAAACAUAAUAAAGUAGUUUACUAGUGUUGUCAACCAGGACGAGAACUGCCAGUGCUUUUUACUGCCUCAACCUCUGUACCGUAUUGGUACUUAAUUACUGUAACUCUUUUGCAGCAAAAACGACGUCGAUUUAACAUUUCGCACUGCAUCUUACACGCACCAAGAAGCACAAACCACUAGUAUAUAGUUUGUUUGUUCUCUCAGCCAUCAAUUUAAGUUGCGGUUUUUAAAAUUCGGAAAAAAACAGUAUUACCAUUUUUAAAAUAUAUCAUCAUUCUCAGAGCAUCUCGCUUGCACUUAUUGGUACGAGUACAAAACCUAAAGUGUAAUAUAAUGUCAAUAUCUAAGCUACAGCAGAUUUCUAAAAAUUCCAUUCUUAUAGAGGAUAUUAUAAUCCUUGUAAUGCAGUAUGCCCCUGCGUGCACAAUUAGCGUAAUGUUGUAGCUGGGUUUGUUGGAUACUACAGACAUAUUGUGAUCUAGCUACGGGCUACGCCGUAGCAUUUCGUAGCAAAGCUACGUGUUGAUAGUGGAAAAACGAACAAACCGCAAACUUAAUCGAAAUUAUUUAAAAAAUCAGCAAAAGUCCUUUGCGGUUCCUAAAAACAGAAUUUAGCUAGGUACCUCUCAUUAGUUUCAUAUUAAAUAUUUUUUACACACCUGUUAUUGUUAACACAUUCACCGCUGAGUGUGAGCCGCUAAGGUUUCUCAAGACCUCUGCUUAAGCCCCUUUAGAAGUUCUAACUUCAUAACCCCCUAAGUACCCAAUAUUGUCUUAAGAUCCAAACAGACAUAAUACGAAUUUUCACAUGGAAAUUCAUCAUUUUUUAUCUGCAAUAAAAAAAUUGAAUUAACGGAACGUGAAGAACUCCAAAUGCACAUAUGUAUGUACCUAUAGCUGACUUGACAUUUGGUGGAUAAUUAAGGUUAUCAAUGUUAUAAAAGAUGAUUUCUUCAAAUGCAGCUCGCUGAGCACUGAGCGGACAGUCAUGCGUGCCCGGGACGCGGAUAUCAUUGUUUCCCAAUUAUUAAUUUUAGUUCAUUCUAACAAAAAAACAGUAAUCAAUUACUUUGAUUUAAAAAAAUACGCAUUUUUAAUAGCAAAUUUUGAAUGAUGCGUUUUAGAUCUAUGUUCGUGUUUUUUUUUUUAUAUCGAGUUUAAUUCGUUAAAUGAGGUUUCAAAUCGAUUAAGUUCCUAGAGAAAGUCCUCAAUAUUGCUAUUCAUAUUUUUUGUUAACCGUAUUAUGAUCUAAAAUAGCGCAACGAUUUUUCAAAAACUGCUGACUGAACCCACUGCAACUUACGUUUUUUUAAGAAUGGUAACUGGUAACAUUAAAAAAGCGGCCAAGUGCGAGUCGGACUCGCCCAUGAAGGGUUCCGUACCAUUUAUGACGUAUUAAAAAAACUACUUACUAGAUCUCGUUCAAACCAAUUUUUGGUGGAAGUUUGCAUGGUAAUGUAUAUCAUAUAUUUUUUUUAGAUUUUUCAUUCCGUUAUUUUAGAAGUUACAGGGAGGAGGACACACUUUUUUUCACUUUGGAAGUGUCUCUCGCGCAAACUAUUCAGUUUAGAAAAAAAUGAUAUUAGAAACCUAAUAUUUAUCAUUUUUGAAGACCUAUCCAUAGAUACCCCACACGUAUGGGUUAGAUGAAUUUUUUUUUUUAAAUUUUAUGACGUAUUAAAAAAAACUACUUACUAGAUCUCGUUCAAACCAAUUUUCGGUGGAAUUUUGCAUGGUAAUGUAUAUCCUAUAUUUUUUUUAGAUUUUUCAUUCUGUUAUUUUAGAAGUUACAGGGGACACACAUUUUUCCACUUUGGAAGUGUCUCUCGCGCAAACUAUUCAGUUUAGAACAUAAAUGAUAUUAGAAACCUAAAUAUCAUUUUUGAAGACCUAUCCAUAGAUACACCCACACGUAUGGGAUUGAUGAAAAAAUUUUUUUUUUUUUAAUUUUAUGACGUAUAAAACAAAACUACUUACUAAAUCUCGUUCAAACCCAUUUUCGGUGGAAGUUUGCAAGGUAAUGUAUAUCAUAUAUUUUUUUUAGAUUUUUCAUUCUGUUAUUUUAGAAGUUACAGGAGGGAGGGACACACAUUUUACCACUUUGGAAGUGUCUCUCGCGCAAACUAUUCAGUUUAGAAAAAAAAUAUAUUAGAAUCCUCAAUAUCGUUUUUGAAGACCUAUCCAUAGAUACCCCACACGUAUGGGUUUGAUGAAAAAAGAUUUUUUGAGUUUCAGUUUUAAGUAUGGGGAGCCCCCAAAAUUUAUUGUUUUUUUUUUCUAUUUUUGUGUAAAAAUCUUAAUGCGGCUCAUAAAAUACAUCUACUUACCAAGUUUGAACAGUAUAGGUCUUAUAGUUUCGGAAAUAAGUGGCUGUGACAUAAUCGGACGGACAGACGGACAUGACGAAUCUAUAAGGGUUCCGUUUUUUGCCAUUUGGCUACGGAACCCUAAAAAGGGGGCCGCUACGUACUGUAUUUUGUAUUUAAGUACCUUUUGAAUACAUAAAACUAGUUUUUAUGUUGCUCGAUUCGUCGAUGUAUGAACUCACAACAAAAACAGCCGUUUUAACUUUAAACGAUUGAUGAAUCCAGCAACGUAAAAACUAUUAUGAUGUGUUCAAAAGGUACUUAAAAACAAAAUACAGUACGUAGCGACUCCCUUUUUUAAAUACCUAUCGUUAAAUUUAAAUUAUCACAAUUAUUUAGCAGUGGCGCUAGUGAGCACGUGCAAAAAAGGUUCGUAUAAUUCUAAUUGGCACCUGAGCGCGGGCUAGUCCAAGGCUCAAAAUACCAGUGUAGGUGCGCUCUCCAAUAACGCGCCUUUUUUCGCAUCUCGAGACGCAUUUUAGACUGGUUCUGUAGCGUUCGACUCGCCAGUACUCAGUAACCGUAGAGGGACCACACAAUCGCAAAUAGUUUUUCCAUUUGUUCAUUUUGAAUCUUAUUGCAAUUUCCAUAGGAGUUAAUUAAAGUGACCGGACCAUUUUUUAUGGAGGUACGUGCGGUUUUACUUAACAAUAUACAAAGGUUUAGCCGCUGGGGGCCAGCUACAAAUCUAACGACUAUACUUCAAUGAGGCAAUAGAAUAUGGUUUAAUCGGGCCAACGGUGUAUGCACUCGGGACAUAUGUUUAGUAAAUUCUGUCAAUUAGUAGUAAUAGUAAUUAAGAAACUGUAUUAUGUUAUAUUUUAGUACGACUGUAUGUGAAUCGCUGUUGUUUUUAAGAGAUUGAGAGAGACUGCUAAAGUUAUUAUAAAUUUCUUCUUUAGUCGACUUGUGUUUCGUAUAUGUAAAAUAAUUGGUAAUAAGUGAGAAAAAAAUAUUUUCAAUUACGUAUUUCUAUUAAAUUCGAUGAUAUACUAUUAAAAAACAAAUCACCUAUUCAGCAUUGGAAGAACUUGUUAUCGUAGCGUUUUUUUAAACAUUAUUCUAAAUAAUUCAAAUGUAUAUGUGAUUAAUGAGUGUUUUUUAUUUAUUUAUAUGUGAGCUAUCCUAUUAUUGAAAUAUAUUAGUUAGUUAUAAAAUUGUGUAGAGUUUAGAUUAUGUUUAUUGCGUUAUUAUAUAAUGUUAUUUUUGUUUAGUAUUUUCAACCCUAUAUUUUAGUUUAAUGCUUGCCACAGGUUGCCACACUUAUUAGUUGAAAUUACGUGAGCGGUUAUAUAAGGACAGUUUUUUCAUAUAAUUUUAACUGUAGGUACCAAAAAAAUGCAAAAAAUGACAUUUAGGAUAGUUACUAAUAUAUAUAAAAUGUACUUGUAAUAGAAUACUUGUAUUUUCAGAUUCUAUUGAUAUGAAUAUAGCACUUCCAUGAUCUAUUAUCCAGAAUACUACUACUAAUUUUAUUUUAAAUCGAUGUACUACUAGUACGGUUCGUGUCAUCUACGAUGACGCGCAGAUUUGUCAAAUCUAACCUUUAAUAACAUGACAUUAGGAGUCAAGGCAGGCGUCGUCGUGAAUGACACUAUCUUAGUACUACUACUUGUUCUGACGCCAUAAGGCGUAGGUACGUUGAGUUAAUAAUGCUAUUGUUUUUCUUUUUUGUACUUGUCUUUGAAUUUUGGUGCUCUUUGUUGUGUUGUUUUAUUAUACAAGACAAAAGUAGUUCAAAACAUUUGUAUCUAUUGUAAGAUUUUUGCAGUUCAUUUGUACGUAUUGUAAGAUUUUUUAGUUAUUUAAAUAACAAGUAUUUGUAGUCUAUUCAUGAACGUCACACGGCGGCUACAUAAAUAUUAGAAUACAUACAUACCUAUUUCGAUACUGACUCUUAACAUUUAUAGAUUCUGUUUGUAACAUCGCCGUUUUUGUUGAUCCUGGAAUUUGAAUGAAAAUUGUUAUUUACGACACAAGUGCGAAAAAUAGGAAAUUCGUAACAAGUGGCGAUAAAUUAAAACACGACCGAAGGGAGAACGUUUUACAGUACAUAUGACCCUUUAAAUUUUCGACCACCACUUUGAGUUUUCACCAUAUGUACUGUAAAAGUAUUGAAAAAGCGGCAUUUGAACUUCACACAUUAGUCUUAAUUCGACAUCGUUUUGAGAUCAUUCCCGGCGAUAUUGCUUCAUUUAUCAGCGAACGAGUGAGCGAUGUACCUACGCCGCAUGAAUAGCAUAACCUGCUGAGUGAUCUGAUCAAACUGAAGUCAACAUUAGUAAAGUUGUACCUAAUGAUGCUCCUGGACACGAAAAUGCGUAUGUUUUAUUUUUCACUAGGUACAGUCGACGUCAAAGACAUGUUUACACUUUUGCACCUUACUUACUCCUUUGUAAUAACGCGAAAAAUGUAAACAUAUCUUUGACGUCGACGCUACAGGUUAUGGAUCGUGUUAAAUGGCUGACAUCAUGCUGUUAAGUGACAGUUAUUAAGUCAAUGAUAUUAUUCCGUCUUAUUAAAUACUCGUAGCUUACAAAUAGAAACUUACGUUAUUUUGGAUUGCUCUCAAAAUUGAUAGAAAACUAUGAAAGCGAUAGAUUAUUUGUCAGUGGUCAAUAGUAGGUAUGUAAAAAUAUGUUUUCCUUCUCACUGUGUAUAAGUUAGAACUCUUGUGCGUACAUGUACUUAUUUCCGGCCAACAUUGAACUGCUUAGUUGCUUGUUAUUCUAAAAUUUUUCCCUUAUACCUAACAUCAAAAAGAAUUGAUUUUAAUACAGAGGCAAAGUGUAAGAAAAAUCGUGCUCCUUAUUUUGAUAUCCAAAACAGAUGGCGCUGUGCUGCGCCAUAUGUUUUGCGGUCACUGAAUUGUCAAAUGUCAACUUUUGACAAUCAGAGUUACCGCAAAAUGGAUGGAGCUGUACAGCGCCAUCCCGUUUACCUAUCAAAUACGAAGCACGAAAUAGUCCUAAAUUUUACGCAUCUUAAUCAAUGUAUCUUUGUCAAUGUAUCAAUGUAUUCAUACUUUAUUUUCAUUCAAUGUUGAAUAUUAUUUAGGGAUUCGAUUCGAUUCAAAAUAGUGGAGGCAGAUGAAAUGUAAAAUUAAAUUAUCAAUUAUCAAAUCUGAUUGUAUUCUGUCGAAAUAAGGGCCGAGCUCUGGAGGCCUUAAUUUACGUUUGAAUACACUUCCAUGACACUGCCCGACUCUAGUCUUAUUCCACCUCGUUUGGCUGACAAAACAUGUUGAUGUUCAUUAUAAUAUAAGUGUAUUGUUUUGAUUACGGUAUUUGUAUUCUAGGAAAAUACACAAAUUUUACAAUAUAA